UCCACUAGGUGCUGCUGCCGCGGCCGCCAGGGAGGGAGGUGUCGGAGGGCGGGCCCCGCGCGGUGCUAGGGUUCCGUCUGGACUGGCGGUGACGUAGAGAACGGACUGCAGAGUUAAUAAACGUCGAGGGGAAGCUUUGAUGCGCCCCAUUUGGCCCUGAGAGAUGCCACGUGAUCGUCAUUUUAAAUCCUUUCCUGGGCUUCCCGAUGGACUCGAGUUUUUACUAUGUGAGCAUCCCGGUGCCUGCACAGCAAGGACUCUCAUUGGGUUCCACACGUGCUGCGCAGAUCCCUGACGCAGCGUUCACUGAACCUCAACUGCAGGAGCUUCAUUCCUGAGGACGCUGUUACCAAGAAUGACUUGCCUCUUGAAGAAUGAGUUUGCAAAGCCGGCAGUUAGAUUGCUGAUGUCCAAAGUAAGUAUGUGUAGCAUCACUAAAGAGAAAAUUCAGGAUUCCUGGAAAACAGUUAUGGGCUCUCUGCAGUGUUAUUUUUGUAAUAAAAAACAUAUAGCAUAUGUGAAAUACCUACUGGGUGAUGCAGGACACAUAGAAGGCUCGAAAUUAAUGUGAAUCAUUCUCGUUUUUCUGACUGUCAUUAAAAGUCCCCAUUUGUAUUAUG
rnacentral:lncRNA from 1 species